GUUGGCUUAGAAGCAGCCACUCAUUUAAAGAGUGCGUAAUAGCUCACUAGUCGAGAGAUCCUGCGCCGAAAAUGUACCGGGGCUAAACUUACCACCGAAGCUACGGAUUUGCAAGUAAUUGCAAGUGGUAGGGGAGCGUCGUAAUCGGGCUGAAGUCGUACCGGAAGGAGCGGUGGACUGAUUACGAGUGAGAAUGUUGGCAUUAGUAGCGAGAUGUAGGUGAGAAUCCUACAGGCCGAAUAUCUAAGGUUUCCUCAGGAAGGCUCGUCCGCUGAGGGUUAGUCGGGACCUAAGCCGAGGCCGAAAGGCGUAGGCGAUGGACAAUCGGUUGAUAUUCCGAUACCACUACCAUCGUUAUUAUCGAGGGUGUGACGGAGAAGGAUAGUGUGUGCUAGCGAUUGGAAAUGCUAGUCUAAGCGUUUAGGGAGUUACGGUAGGCAAAUCCGCUGUAACAAUUCUGAGGCGUGAUGGGGAAGGUCAUUAAGACCGAAGUACAUGAUUCCAUGCUUCCAAGAAAAGCAUCUAGAGAGAGAAGUAGUGCCCGUACCGCAAACCGACACAGGUAGAUGAGGAGAGAAUCCUAAGGCCGGCGGAAGAAUUGCAGUUAAGGAACUAGGCAAAUUGACCCCGUAAGUUCGCGAGAAGGGGUGCCUGCGAGAGCAGGCCGCAGAGAAUAGGCCCAAGCAACUGUUUAGCAAAAACACAGGUCUCUGCUAAAGCGUAAGCUGAUGUAUAGGGGCUGACGCCUGCCCGGUGCUGGAAGGUUAAGGGGAACACUUAGCGCAAGCGAAGGUGUGAACUUAAGCCCCAGUAAACGGCGGCCGUAACUAUAACGGUCCUAAGGUAGCGAAAUUCCUUGUCAGGUAAGUUCUGACCCGCACGAAUGGCGUAAUGAUUUGGGCACUGUCUCAACAGCCCGCCCGGCGAAAUUGUAGUACUGGUGAAGAUGCCAGUUACCCGCAACUAGACGGAAAGACCCCAUGGAGCUUUACUGCAGCUUAAUACUGAGAUUCGGUAAAUCAUGUACAGGAUAGGUGGGAGACUUGGAAACAUGGCCGUCAGGUCGUGCGGAGUCAUCCUUGGGAUACCACCCUUGGUUUGCUGGGUUUCUAACCUGCGGCCCUGAAUCGGGUCGGGGUACAGGACAAUCUUGAGUUUCAUGGGUACACCUUAAAGACGAACCGGAAAGAACAGCGUGUGUCCUUUCCGGUUCUGCAAAAGAGAUACCGGAGCCCUGAGGGCUCCGGACACGGGUAUUUCUACUUGCCGCUCGCGUCGUUUUCCUGGGCCUUCUUCUUGUCCGGGGUCUCGCGCAGGCGCAGGCCGAGCUCGCGCAGCUGCAGGGCCGCGACUUCGCUGGGCGCGUCGGUCAUGAGGCAGGUGGCCUUCUGGGUCUUGGGGAAGGCGAUGACGUCACGGAUGCUCUCGGAAUGGGAGAGCAGCAUGACCAGGCGGUCGAGGCCGAAGGCGAGGCCGCCGUGCGGCGGAGCGCCGAACUCAAGGGCGUGGAGCAGGAAGCCGAACUGCUUCUCGGCGCGCUCCUCGGUGAAGCCGAGUUCCUUGAACAUGCGGCGCUGGGUUUCGGCGGAAUGGAUACGGAUGGAGCCGCCGCCCACCUCAUUGCCGUUGAGGAUCAUGUC
rnacentral:rRNA from 1 species